UGUAUUCCCUACUGUAAGUUGCUCUGGAUAAGAGCGUCUGCUGAAUGACAAAAA
rfam:Salmo salar isolate Sally breed double haploid chromosome ssa28, whole genome shotgun sequence.